UACGUAGGGUGCAAGCGUUAAUCGGAAUUACUGGGCGUAAAGCGUGCGCAGGCGGUUUUGUAAGUUUGUCGUGAAAUCCCCGGGCUCAACCUGGGAAUGGCGAUGAAGACUGCAAGGCUAGAAUCUGGCAGAGGGGGGUAGAAUUCCACGUGUAGCAGUGAAAUGCGUAGAGAUGUGGAGGAACACCGAUGGCGAAGGGCAAGCCCCCUGGGUCAAGAUUGACGCUCAUGCACGAAAGGCGUGGGGAGCAAACAGG
rnacentral:rRNA from 1 species